rnacentral:rRNA from 1 species
AUUGAACGCUGGCGGCAGGCCUAACACAUGCAAGUCGAACGAGUGGCGGACGGGUGAGUAAUGUCUGGGAAACUGCCUGAUGGAGGGGGAUAACUACUGGAAACGGUAGCUAAUACCGCAUACCAUCGGAUGUGCCCAGAUGGGAUUAGCUAGUAGGUGGGGUAAAGGCUCACCGAGGCGACGAUCCCUAGCUGGUCUGAGAGGAUGAACAGCCACACUGGAACUGAGACACGGUCCAGACGCCUACGGGAGGCAGCAGUGGGGAAUAUUGCACAAUGUGCGCAAGCCUGAUGCAGCCAUGCGGCGUGUAUGAAGAAGGCCUUCGGGUUGUAAAUUACUUUCAGCGAGGAGGCGUUACUCGCAGAAGAAGCACCGGCUAACUCCGUGCCAGCAGCCGCGGUAAUUC